CCGCGGCUAGACGGAAAGACCCCGUGAACCUUUACUAUAGCUUCACAGUGGACUUUGAGCCUGCUUGUGUAGGAUAGCUGGGAGACAUUGAAGCGGUGACGCCAGUCAUCGUGGAGUCGUCCUUGAAAUACCAGCCUGGCAUGUUCGAGGUUCUAACCCAGGCCCGUUAUCCGGGUCGGGGACAUUGUGUGGUGGGUAGUUUGACUGGGGCGGUCUCCUCCCAAAGAGUAACGGAGGAGCACAAAGGUACCCUCAGCACGGUCGGACAUCGUGCAAUGAGCGUAAAGGUAGAAGGGUGCUUGACUGCGAGACCCACAAGUCGAGCAGGUGCGAAAGCAGGUCUUAGUGAUCCGGUGGUUCUGAAUGGAAGGGCCAUCGCUCAACGGAUAAAAGGUACUCCGGGGAUAACAGGCUGAUACCGCCCAAGAGUUCAUAUCGACGGCGGUGUUUGGCACCUCGAUGUCGGCUCAUCACAUCCUGGGGCUGAAGUCGGUCCCAAGGGUAUGGCUGUUCGCCAUUUAAAGUGGUACGCGAGCUGGGUUUAGAACGUCGUGAGACAGUUCGGUCCCUAUCUGGUGUGGGCGUUGGAUGAUUGAUGGGAGCUGCUCCUAGUACGAGAGGACCGGAGUGGACGAACCGCUGGUGUUCGGGUUGUGAUGCCAAUCGCAUUGCCCGGUAGCUACGUUCGGAACGGAUAACCGCUGAAAGCAUCUAAGCGGGAAGCCGGCCCAGAGAUGAGUCAUCCCUGACAGUUUAACUGUCCUGAAGGGUUGUUUUAGACUAAGACGUUGAUAGGCAGGGUGUGGAAGCGUUGUAAGGCGUUAAGCUAACCUGUACUAAUUGCCCGCGAGGCUUAAU
rnacentral:rRNA from 14 species